AGGAUUGCACUGAUCCUAUGGGAAGGGCUACUACUACAACAGGGGGUUUCUUGGAGCCAAUUAAAUAGGUUGAAAAUACUUAUUUGCCCAUAACUAAUCCUGGCUGAAUUACCUGCUUAUCCCUUACUGCUACGCCUGUAGGCUGUCCCCUGGUUUUGAGGUUUUUUACGGAGAAUUACUAAGGUCGUGUAUUAUUGUGACAGAGGACGUAGAUGAGGCGAGGCGCGGCGCCUGGCUAAAUAACUACGUAAUGCUAGGCGUGCCUGAGGUGAGGAUGGAGUAAAAGAGUUGCAACGCAAGAGGUGCUCAAUGACAACCGGUAUUUCAUAUAUAGAAAGAACCAGGAAAGCUGCAAAAUUAAGAUGAAAGUGGUACAGAAAGUGAAAGAUAUGGAAUCCAAGUGAUUACAUUUUGCACAGCAGAGGUCAAGGGCUCUCCGUAUCCUGUCUGCAUAUGACACAGUCUCUUCUGUGACACUACGUCAGCUUGGAUCUUCUCUCGACUCCGGGCCGCUUAAGGAUCGUACUUGCUCUCUCAAGAAGGUGGCCCUCACAAUCGGACUGGUGGUUUAGGUAUAUCGAUCCACAAUCCCGAAGGGCACAUGUUAGAAGGUGCAGUUGGACGAAUGUUUAUUAUGGCGAGCACCGUUCAGGAAGGCAAAGAAUAGUUCGGAUGCAGAAACCAAAGCCGGCAAUAAUUCUGUUGUUCAACCCACGGAAAAAUCAUCUGCUGCAGUGCAGGGCUUGCAGGCCUUGUUAUAGUGUCCCCAUUCGGAAACGUCUAUAGGACUGUCCUUGAACAAGAAUUGA